GCUGGGUGUGGUGGUGUGCACCUGUAAUCCCAGCUACUCGGGAGGCUGAGGCAGGAGAAUCGCUUGAACCCAGGAGGCAGAGAUUGCAGUGAGCCAAGACAGUGCCACUGCACUCCAGCCUGGGUGACAGAGCGAGGCUCUGUCUCAA
ensembl:misc_RNA Metazoa_SRP Metazoan signal recognition particle RNA